rnacentral:rRNA from 1 species
UACGGAGGGUGCAAACGUUGCUCGGAAUCAUUGGGCGUAAAGCGCGCGUAGGCGGCGAGGCAAGUUGGAUGUGAAAGCCCUGGGCUCAACCUAGGAUGUGCAUACAAAACUGCCUCGCUUGAAUCUCGGAGGGGGUCAGGGAAUUCCCGGUGUAGAGGUGAAAUUCGUAGAUAUCGGAAGGAACACCAGUGGCGAAGGCGCUGACCUGGACGAUGAUUGACGCUGAGGCGCGAAAGCGUGGGGAGCAAACAGG